rnacentral:rRNA from 1 species
UACGUAGGGGGCAAGCGUUGUCCGGAAUCAUUGGGCGUAAAGCGCGUGUAGGCGGUCCGGUAAGUCCGCUGUGAAAGUCCAGGGCUCAACCCUGGGAUGCCGGUGGAUACUGUCGGGCUUGAGUACGGGAGAGGCGAGUGGAAUUCCUGGUGUAGCGGUGAAAUGCGCAGAUAUCAGGAGGAACACCUAUGGCGAAGGCAGCUCUCUGGGACGGUACUGACGCUGAGACGCGAAAGCGUGGGGAGCGAACAGG